ACCCUGGAUCAUUUUUGAUGAUCCUGGAUCAUUUUUCCUGCCCCCAGAAGUGAGAAGAACCUUGCAGGCAUCAUACCAAGCAGAGGCAGAGCUGCACAAACGUGGAAGUGGAAGCUGUGACCGGACACAACUGCAAAACUGAGCGGUGGCUGCUCAACUACAAGCAGGACUGCAGAAGGAAAAGCAAGUCUGGAACCUUCAAAUGCUAGAAGUACCUGUCCCUGCCAUCUCAACUAGAGGAACAGCUCUGACAUCUUCAAACAAGUACUACUGCUGAUGGGAGGAACGGCAGAUAACAGAGUCCCUGCUCCCUUUUCGGCGCUGCUACUCUGGAGGAGCAAGAAAGGAGAAAGAGCAGAAGGCCCCGGCUACUUCUUGCCAGGGAAGGGACACCCAUUGCAUGCACCACCUUUUAGGCUCAAGGUCUCUUCAAGAUCACAAGACAAGAAGUUGCUUUCAAAUAAACAGGGACUCUGUGAUUUACUUUGAAACUGCUCUCCUGCAGCCUGAACACUUGCUGAAUUAUUCACCAUAAAAGAAAGUUUCUUUUAUAAGACUGCCGGUUAAUUAUUCACCUCCAUAAAAUGAGCACCUGGAGCUUUGUUUAAUGUCUCAAGCCCAAGAAUAGCUGUGAUUGCAUUAACAAUAGCCCAAGUGCCAGUUCAAAAAAAGAUGUUUUUCC